CAUCCGCCCCUCCUUCUUCAUCGUGCGAAACCUCUCUCUCUCCUUCUCGGCAUCCUCACCAAACCAGCAGCUCUUCCUUCCUUUCUUUCAUUUUUCUUUUCCUUUAUUCUGCCAUCCUCGCCCACUAAGGAAGACUACCGUCUCUCUCUCUCCACCAAGUUUUGCCUGCCACCUUCAAUUGUUUCCCCCAACCGAAGCCCCACGUUCACGCAGCUCUCCACCGGAUUUCUCUGCCACACGUCCUCGAUUUAAAUCCCCCAUGAGUCAACCUUCUUCAGCAAAUUUCACGUGUUGACCCUUGUAGAGCCAGCGUGAGCCAGCUGCCAGCACACACCGCCCACAUCCCACAGAAGCUUCUUCCACUUUCUCUCGCAUCCAUGCGAGUGCAGCAAACCGAGUCCACUCCCUCUCCCCCUCAUUGACCGCCACCAGCAUACUUCCUCACGCCUCCAUGAGUCUGCCGUUCCACCGAAUUCUUCACCGAGCAGCACCUCCAGCGAAGCUUGGCCCAGCGAAGCAAUUUUUCAGUCCACCAGCCUAGUUCGGAUCCAGCCCAAAACUUCAGCGGCAGCCCACACCAAUUUCGGCCCGUCUUCAGUGCCCGACCACAAUUCAGCCUGCAUCAACGGCCUGGCAGUUUCUUUUUUUUUGCUCGGCCCAGCAGUCGGGCCAUUUGAAGCCCAGCAAGUUGCCAUUUUUCUACAGCCCAUCUUCAUGCAAGACAGCCCGUGAAUUUCAGCUUAUUUCAGCCCAUUUGAAGCCCAGCCCAAGAAGUUAGCCCAUCUUCAUUUUCAGCAGCCCAAGCCCGCGAAGCAAGCCUAGCCCAACUCAAUAAUAAAUCUCAGUUUGGGCUGAGAUUUGUUGGGCCGGUUUUAGGCUUGGUCCAAGCCCGUUGGCGCCGUCACAAUUCAAGUGUCGGCCGCCGUCACGCCGCCGUCGCGGUGAACCAGUUUUCGCUUUAAACCGGGUCGUCGAGUGGAGGACCUGGAGCCGAGAGGAGGUGAUCUGAAGUGUAGAUUAAUUAAGAUCGCUUCUUUUUGGAAAGCCAGUCUUUGUAGUCUUUUGGUCUUAGACCUUGUACAUGACUCUAUGUGAAUAUAAAAACGUGUUUGUUUGUGAA